CUUUUUUAUGGUGUAUUUAACACAUUACAUUUUCAUUGUAAAGCUGAAGGGCUCCUUCUAAAAAU
rnacentral:tRNA from 1 species